rnacentral:rRNA from 1 species
CCUACGGGAGGCUGCAGUGAGGAAUAUUGGUCAAUGGGCGGGAGCCUGAACCAGCCAAGCCGCGUGAGGGAAGAAGGUACAGCGUAUCGUAAACCUCUUUUGUCAGGGAACAAAGGCGGGGACUAGUCCCCGGAUGAGGGUACCUGAAGAAAAAGCAUCGGCUAACUCCGUGCCAGCAGCCGCGGUAAUACGGAGGAUGCGAGCGUUAUCCGGAUUUAUUGGGUUUAAGGGGUGGGCAGGCGGCCUGUUAAGUCAGCGGUAAAAGCCCGGGGCUCAACCCCGGCGAGCCGUUGAAACUGGCGGGCUGGAGUGGGAGAGAGGGACGCGGAAUGCGCGGUGUAGCGGUGAAAUGCGUAGAUAUUAGGAGGAACACCAGUGGCGAAGGCGGUCUGCUGGACAGCAACUGACGCUGAGGCGCGAAAGCGUGGGGAGCAAACAGGAUUAGAUACCCUAGUAGUC